rnacentral:rRNA from 1 species
AAUGGGGGCAACCCUGAUCCAGCCAUGCCGCGUGAGUGAAGAAGGCCUUCGGGUUGUAAAGCUCUUUCGGACGGAAAGAAAUCGCGCAGGUGAAUAAUCUGCGUGGAUGACGGUACCGUAAGAAGAAGCACCGACUAACUACGUGCCAGCAGCCGCGGUAAUACGUAGGGUGCGAGCGUUAAUCGGAAUUACUGGGCGUAAAGCGUGCGCAGGCGGCUACAUAAGACAGGUGUGAAAUCCCCGGGCUCAACCUGGGAAUGGCGCUUGUGACUGUGUGGCUUGAGUUCGGCAGAGGGGGGUGGAAUUCCACGUGUAGCAGUGAAAUGCGUAGAGAUGUGGAGGAACACCGAUGGCGAGGGCAGCCCCCUGGGUCGACACUGACGCUCAUGCACGAAAGCGUGGGGAGCAAA